GAUGAACGCUGGCGGCGUGCCUAAUACAUGCAAGUCGAGCGAACGGACGAGAAGCUUGCUUCUCUGAUGUUAGCGGCGGACGGGUGAGUAACACGUGGAUAACCUACCUAUAAGACUGGGAUAACUUCGGGAAACCGGAGCGAAUACCGGAUAAUAUUUUGAACCGCAUGGUUCAAAAGUGAAAGACGGUCUUGCUGUCACUUAUAGAUGGAUCCGCGCUGCAUUAGCUAGUUGGUAAGGUAAUGGCUUACCAAGGCAACGAUGCAUAGCCGACCUGAGAGGGUGAUCGGACACACUGGAACUGAGACACGGUCCACACUCCUACGGGAGGCAGCAGUAGGGAAUCUUCCGCAAUGGGCGAAAGCCUGACGGAGCAACGCCGCGUGAGUGAUGAAGGUCUUCGGAUCGUAAAACUCUGUUAUUAGGGAAGAACAUAUGUGUAAGCAACUGUGCACAUCUUGACGGUACCUAAUCAGAAAGCCACGGCUAACUACGUG
rnacentral:rRNA from 1 species